rnacentral:lncRNA from 10 species
AUGGACACAGCAGGAACCAGGCACAGAAUAUUCACAGCAGCAUUGUUGGUAGCAAAAGACUUGGAACCGACCCAAAUGUCAACAGGGGAGCGAGUGAGUGGGCUGUGAUAAAAAGACUCUGUGACUUUAUUCCAUGUCACAAGGACACUGAGCAAAGCGCGGCCACGGCCAUCUCCAUGGAGGGCUCUUCGACCUUCACGGCUGAGUGACAACCGCAAAUCAGAGACAAUUGCAGAAACACUGCUACCAUUUGGAUAAAACUCACAAACAAGAAAGACUAAGCAAUCCAUUGCUUUGGGAUAGACACCAAUUUUGUAAAAUAAUAAAGGAAAUCAAGAGAACGGUAAAGCAAAAUCAGAUCAGGUGGCACCUUAGUGGGGUGGAAAGUGCGCAUGAAUUGGCACUCCAGCAUGUUCUGUUUUCUAAGAGAAGAUGGAACCCAGCACAUCUCGAGAGCCCACUGCACAGGUCAGGUGCAUUUAUGUUUACUGUUUCUAUCAGCAAAAGAGCAAAACCAAAAUCAAACAAACGAAGACUCUGGCAAGAUUGCUUGAUCCUGCCUUGAGGAAGGAAUGGCAAACAACAUAAUUCUAUCUAAUGAGAUGUUCAAAGACAUCUUCUGGUGCUUCUUGAAAGACUUGAUUUCUUCACAUAGAUGCAAUGUCUUCCCUGUGGUUUCUUCUUCUAUCUGCUGGGGACAUGGGUGUGAUCCCUGGAGCUGCAGCAGCCAUUUGUUAACCCUGAGGAAAAGACUCAGAAAAAUCCAAGACCUUGGCUCUACUAUCUUUGGGCCAUUGAACCAGAGGUAGCAAGUCGCAUUUCUCCUUAAAUGAUAAUAAAACCCCCCCUUGAUUUAAGC